rnacentral:lncRNA from 1 species
AAUAAUAAAACUUUUAAGACAUUUAUAAUUAUAAAAAAUAAUUUAAUAUAAGUAAUAAUAUUUAUAUUGUUACAUAUAAUGCUAUACAAUAUAACACCAAAUAUUGUACAAUAUUAAUAUAAUAAAAUGAUAAUGCAAUAAUGCAAUAAUGCAAUACGCCUACACUAUAAUACAAUAUAGUGUGCCAAACACUCUCUACCACUUUACUUAAUGUUGCUCAAUGCCUUUUAUUUCAAUUCCCAAUCAUGAGUUUAUCUCAAUUAAUGCCGGACCCAAAUGUAGUGUUGUGCAAUGCUGCAAGUCAAACAUACCCUUUGUGUAAUACAUACACACACGCACUCUCUUUUUUUAAGUAAGAGCAUCCCCACAUUGUUAAAGUAAAAAUGUCACUAAAAUACAAAAGAAUAAAAAUUUCAAUAUAUAUAUUUUUUAUUUGUUAGUAUAAUGAAAAUUGUGUUUUUUGUUUGUUAGUAGCUUCCUCAUUUUAACAAAGUUAGGAUGCCCUCACUAAAAAAUGAUUAUAUAUAUCGGAGUGAGUUUUCAAUUAAAGAUCCAUUAUUAUAUUAAAGUCAAUGAUAAAUUAAAAAUAAAAAACACUGGUUAAUAAUAUAUAUGCAUCGGAGUCUGUAUUUUUAUUUUUUAACUUAUUGUUGAUUUUCAUAUAGUUAAGAUUCAUGUAUAUAUAUUUAAAAAGUGGAAGAAGAAAUCAAUUUAAAGGGCCGUUGAGAUCCGGAUCCAAAAGUCCAGAAAACUUCAAAUUGGACUGUGACCCAAACAUUAGAAAACAUUCACCAAAACAAAACCCAAACAGAACCCCAGAAUCAGCUUACACUCGACCUCUCCCGGAAGCGGUAUCGAGUUGAUUUUGCAGGUGAAAAUCCGUUGAUUUUAAUUUAUUUUUCUCCAAAAUUUUCAUUUCAUUUCUUAUUAUUAUUAUUAUUUCUUUUCAAUAAGUUCAUUGAAUUUGUUCUCUGUUUCUUAACUGAGAAAAUGAUUAAAUAAAGUCUUCUUGUUGAUUCAGGUUUAUACUCGUAAAUAAUAUAUCAUGCCGGACACUCAGGCUCUUGUGAAUGACUUUCUUAACAAGCUUAAAAAACGGUGACGUUUCGGACAAUAUAUUUUAAUUAUUCUUUUUUUUUUUACUGAUUUUAGGAGCUGAUUUUGUUUGUUUGUUUUGUGAGUGGCAGUAAGAUCGAGGGCUCGCAAGCAACGGCAAGGCAGAACGCGGAGCUGCUUCCGGAAUCAGCUUACACUCGACCUCUCCCGGAAGCGGUAUCGAGUUGAUUUUGCAGGUGAAAAUCCGUUGAUUUUAAUUUAUUUUUCUCCAAAAUUUUCAUUUCAUUUCUUAUUAUUAUUAUUAUUUCUUUUCAAUAAGUUCAUUGAAUUUGUUCUCUGUUUCUUAACUGAGAAAAUGAUUAAAUAAAGUCUUCUUGUUGAUUCAGGUUUAUACUCGUAAAUAAUAUAUCAUGCCGGACACUCAGGCUCUUGUGAAUGACUUUCUUAACAAGCUUAAAAAACG